GGUUUCUCUGUGUAGCUUUGGAGCCUAUCCUGGCACUCGCUCUGGAGACCAGGCUGGCCUUGAACUCACAGAGAUCCGCCUACCUCUGCCUCCCGAGUGCUGGGAUUAAAGGCGUGUGCCACCAACACCUG
rnacentral:miRNA from 1 species